AUGGAUCAUUAACAGCACCUAUACUACAACUGGAAUUUUACAGAGAAGAUUAACAUGGCCCCUAUGCAAGGAUGAUAUGCAAAUUUGUGAAGCAGUCCAUGUUUUU
ensembl:snRNA U6 U6 spliceosomal RNA